CCGGCGAUGUCCGAAUGGGGAAACCCAGUGCAAUUCGUUGCACUAUCGUUAACUGAAUACAUAGGUUAACGAGGCGAACCGGGGGAACUGAAACAUCUAAGUACCCCGAGGAAAAGAAAUCAACCGAGAUUCCCCCAGUAGCGGCGAGCGAACGGGGAGCAGCCCAGAGUCUGAAUCAGCUUGUGUGUUAGUGGAACGGUCUGGAAAGUCCGACGGUACAGGGUGAUAGUCCCGUACACCAAAAUGCACAGGUUGUGAACUCGAAGAGUAGGGCGGGACACGUGGUAUCCUGUCUGAAUAUGGGGGGACCAUCCUCCAAGGCUAAAUACUCCUGACUGACCGAUAGUGAACCAGUACCGUGAGGGAAAGGCGAAAAGAACCCCGGCGAGGGGAGUGAAAAAGAACCUGAAACCGUGUACGUACAAGCAGUGGGAGCACCUUCGGGUGUGACUGCGUACCUUUUGUAUAAUGGGUCAGCGACUUAUAUUCUGUAGCAAGGUUAACCGUAUAGGGGAGCCGCAGGGAAACCGAGUCUUAACUGGGCGUUAAGUUGCAGGGUAUAGACCCGAAACCCGGUGAUCUAGCCAUGGGCAGGUUGAAGGUUGGGUAACACUAACUGGAGGACCGAACCGACUAAUGUUGAAAAAUUAGCGGAUGACUUGUGGCUGGGGGUGAAAGGCCAAUCAAACCGGGAGAUAGCUGGUUCUCCCCGAAAGCUAUUUAGGUAGCGCCUCGUGAACUCAUCUUCGGGGGUAGAGCACUGUUUCGGCUAGGGGGUCAUCCCGACUUACCAACCCGAUGCAAACUACGAAUACCGAAGAAUGUUAUCACGGGAGACACACGGCGGGUGCUAACGUCCGUCGUGAAGAGGGAAACAACCCAGACCGCCAGCUAAGGUCCCAAAGUCACAGUUAAGUGGGAAACGAUGUGGGAAGGCACAGACAGCCAGGAUGUUGGCUUAGAAGCAGCCAUCAUUUAAAGAAAGCGUAAUAGCUCACUGGUCGAGUCGGCCUGCGCGGAAGAUGUAACGGGGCUAAACUGUGCACCGAAGCUGCGGCAGCGACACUAUGUGUUGUUGGGUAGGGGAGCGUUCUGUAAGCCUGCGAAGGUGGCCUGUGAGGGUUGCUGGAGGUAUCAGAAGUGCGAAUGCUGACAUAAGUAACGAUAAUGCGGGUGAAAAGCCCGCACGCCGGAAGACCAAGGGUUCCUGUCCAACGUUAAUCGGGGCAGGGUGAGUCGACCCCUAAGGCGAGGCCGAAAGGCGUAGUCGAUGGGAAACAGGUUAAUAUUCCUGUACUUGGUGUUACUGCGAAGGGGGGACGGAGAAGGCUAUGUUAGCCGGGCGACGGUUGUCCCGGUUUAAGCAUGUAGGCGGAGGUUCCAGGUAAAUCCGGUACCUUUUAACGCUGAGGUGUGAUGACGAGGCACUACGGUGCUGAAGUAACAAAUGCCCUGCUUCCAGGAAAAGCCUCUAAGCAUCAGGUAACAUUAAAUCGUACCCCAAACCGACACAGGUGGUCAGGUAGAGAAUACCAAGGCGCUUGAGAGAACUCGGGUGAAGGAACUAGGCAAAAUGGUGCCGUAACUUCGGGAGAAGGCACGCUGAUAUGUAGGUGAAGCCCCUGCGGGUGGAGCUGAAAUCAGUCGAAGAUACCAGCUGGCUGCAACUGUUUAUUAAAAACACAGCACUGUGCAAACACGAAAGUGGACGUAUACGGUGUGACGCCUGCCCGGUGCCGGAAGGUUAAUUGAUGGGGUUAUCCGUAAGGAGAAGCUCUUGAUCGAAGCCCCGGUAAACGGCGGCCGUAACUAUAACGGUCCUAAGGUAGCGAAAUUCCUUGUCGGGUAAGUUCCGACCUGCACGAAUGGCGUAAUGAUGGCCAGGCUGUCUCCACCCGAGACUCAGUGAAAUUGAACUCGCUGUGAAGAUGCAGUGUACCCGCGGCAAGACGGAAAGACCCCGUGAACCUUUACUAUAGCUUGACACUGAACAUUGAGCCUUGAUGUGUAGGAUAGGUGGGAGGCUUUGAAGCGUGGACGCCAGUCUGCGUGGAGCCAACCUUGAAAUACCACCCUUUAAUGUUUGAUGUUCUAACGUUGGCCCCUAAUCGGGGUUGCGGACAGUGUCUGGUGGGUAGUUUGACUGGGGCGGUCUCCUCCCAAAGAGUAACGGAGGAGCACGAAGGUUAGCUAAUCCUGGUCGGACAUCAGGAGGUUAGUGCAAUGGCAUAAGCUAGCUUGACUGCGAGCGUGACGGCGCGAGCAGGUGCGAAAGCAGGUCAUAGUGAUCCGGUGGUUCUGAAUGGAAGGGCCAUCGCUCAACGGAUAAAAGGUACUCCGGGGAUAACAGGCUGAUACCGCCCAAGAGUUCAUAUCGACGGCGGUGUUUGGCACCUCGAUGUCGGCUCAUCACAUCCUGGGGCUGAAGUAGGUCCCAAGGGUAUGGCUGUUCGCCAUUUAAAGUGGUACGCGAGCUGGGUUUAGAACGUCGUGAGACAGUUCGGUCCCUAUCUGCCGUGGGCGCUGGAGAAUUGAGGGGGGCUGCUCCUAGUACGAGAGGACCGGAGUGGACGCAUCACUGGUGUUCGGGUUGUCAUGCCAAUGGCAUUGCCCGGUAGCUAAAUGCGGAAGAGAUAAGUGCUGAAAGCAUCUAAGCACGAAACUUGCCCCGAGAUGAGUUCUCCCUGAGACUUUAAGUCUCCUGAAGGAACGUUAAAGACGAUGACGUUGAUAGGUCGG
rnacentral:rRNA from 1 species